CAGAGAGUGCAAACGUUGUUCGGAAUUACUGGGCUUAAAGCGCACGUAGGCGGCGUCGUAAGUGUCAGGUGAAAUCCCACGGCUCACCCGCGGAACUGCCCGGCAUACUGCGACGCUCGAGUGUGGUAGGGAAGAGCGGAACUCCUGGUGGAGCGGUGAAAUGCGUAGAUAUCAGGAGGAACACCGGUGGCGAAGGCGGCUCUUUGGUCCACAACUGACGCUGAGGUGCGAAAGCCAGGGGAGCAAACGGGAUUAGAUACCCCGGUAGUCCUGGCUGUAAACGAUGGGCACUAGCUUGGGGUCUCCCUGUGUGAUCCCAGGUGAAGUAAAAAUGAUAAGUGCCCCGCCCGGGGAGUAUGGUCGCAAGGCUG
rnacentral:rRNA from 1 species